ensembl:lincRNA Celrr cerebellum expressed regulatory RNA
AUUCAGCCAUUGAAACCCAGCAGAAGAGCAGGCAGGGAAGGGAGGGUGGAGGGACAGAGGCUCCCCUUUCUUCUGGGCUUGGUUCCGGAGGAGGCCAAAAGAGAGUUUACCAGGGAAGCAAUUUGAAGGCAAAAGUCCACUCUAAAGUGAAGAUUCCUCCAGAAGCCGUCCACGGAGACCACGAUCAGGAAGCCUGGGCUGACUGCCUAUGAGAGGUGAACACAAGAGAUUACCCUGAAGGUCACAGACCGGCUGGUUGGUGUAUGCAAAAGAGAAAGAGAGACCCUGUUUGAAAAAGACUGAAGGUUUGCUGAGUUGAAUGCCAAAGAGUCUUCGAAGGACGAUUUCCAUUCAGGGAGAUCCGGUUACCCAGCUCCUAGAAAAAGAAGAAGACAUUCCUUAGGGCAGCAAUCCACACAUUGUUGGAACUAAAACAGUGGACACUGUGGAGACACAGGAUUUGACUUUCUCCCCUACUGUGAUGAUGAUCCCAGUAUUUACUGCCACCAGUAUUGAUCAAAGGUACCAGAUCUCCUGUCAAGAGACAUUGUACUGAAUGGAAGAACUUCUUGAUAUUCUCCUAGUAAAGGAUACAAAGUCUUCCCGGAUAACCUGGAUGGUGAAAACUGUUCCUUCAUGGAAUGUCACCAUGUGGCACAAUCAUACUUCACUUGAGCCAUAGAAAAUUCAAACACUCCCAAAACAACUAGUACACCAUAGAGAGAGAGAAAAUCUAAUGGCUUCAUGUUAUAGUUUGAAUGUGAAAUGCUCCCCACAGGUUCAUGUAUUUAAUUUGGUGAUACCAUUUGGGAAUACUGUGUGACAUGUAGGGGUCACACCUUGAUGGGAGAAGUGCAUCACGAGGGGCGGGCCUUGAGAAGCCUAGUCCACUUCCUGUUUACUCUACAUGUUUCACAACUAUGUAUGCCAUGUGACCAGCUGUCCUCUGGCUCCAGCUGCCACUCCCUCCAUGUUGUGAUGGAAAACAGUCCCUUGAACUAUAAAAGAGAAUAAACAGCCAAAGUCCCAACUCACCAAAAUCUGUUAUCAGUAAUGACUUGUCCUAUAAAAAUUUCACUAAUAAUGUCCAUGAAAAAAAAUGGUUAAAACCUUUAGGGGUAUCCAUCUUUUGACAUUACAACAUGACAAUGUCAUCUACAAAUGUUCUGGGUAGGAUUUGUAGCUAUAGGAGAGUAGAAGAUACCUGAGAAUCACAAGUGGCAGCUUGGACACACCUGCCAAAUAACAGGGUCCCUAACUUGAGACGGUUUAACUUACAUUCUUCAAUUUUAUUGUUCUACAAGAUCGAUAAGCAUCCGGUAAGUACUAUACUUCAAAUCUUUCAUCUGGAUCUUUUCCAAGGCUGGUCUUGUUAUGCAGCUAGCCACAUUCUUUCGUUGACUAUUUGUAAGUUUUGAUGCUCAGUAGGUCCUAUUAUUAAAUGCUUUUUGACACAAAGAUAAUUUCAAUUUAUGGAUGUUUAUGAGGAUGUAACUCAGUUCUAACUCAAAGAGCAGUUGGAGCUUCUUUGACAAUAUUGUUAAUUAAACAGGGAGUGUGCACUG